AUUGAACGCUGGCGGCAUGCCUUACACAUGCAAGUCGAACGGUAACAGGUCUUCGGAUGCUGACGAGUGGCGAACGGGUGAGUAAUACAUCGGAACGUGCCCGAGAGUGGGGGAUCACGGAGCGAAAGCUUUGCUAAUACCGCAUACGAUCUCAGGAUGAAAGCAGGGGACCGCAAGGCCUUGCGCCCACGGAGCGGCCGAUGGCAGAUUAGGUAGUUGGUGGGAUAAAAGCUUACCAAGCCGACGAUCUGUAGCUGGUCUGAGAGGACGACCAGCCACACUGGGACUGAGACACGGCCCAGACUCCUACGGGAGGCAGCAGUGGGGAAUUUUGGACAAUGGGCGCAAGCCUGAUCCAGCCAUGCCGCGUGCAGGAUGAAGGCCUUCGGGUUGUAAACUGCUUUUGUACGGAACGAAAAGACUCUGGUUAAUACCUGGGGUCCAUGACGGUACCGUAAGAAUAAGCACCGGCUAACUACGUGCCAGCCGCCGCGGUAA
rnacentral:rRNA from 1 species